GAUGAACGCUAGCGGCAGGCUUAAUACAUGCAAGUCGAGGGGCAGCUUUUUCUUCGGAAAAAGGCGACCGGCGCACGGGUGCGUAACACGUAUACAAUCUGCCCAUCACAGGGGUAUAGCUCGGAGAAAUCCGGAUUAAUCCCCCAUAAUAGUAGAGAAGGCAUCUUCUUUAUUUGAAAGCUUCGGCGGUGAUGGAUGAGUAUGCGACUGAUUAGUUUGUUGGUGAGGUAACGGCUCACCAAGGCUACGAUCAGUAGGGGUACUGAGAGGUUUACCCCCCACACUGGUACUGAGACACGGACCAG
rnacentral:rRNA from 1 species